rnacentral:rRNA from 1 species
GCAUAUCAAUAAGCGGAGGAAAAAGAAACCAACAGGGAUUGCCCCUAGUAACGGACGAGUGAAGCGGCAAUAGCUCAAAUUUGAAAGCUGGCUUAUGGCCCGCAUUGUAAUUUGUAGAGGAUGCUUUUAGGCAGCCGCCGGUCUAAGUUCCUUGGAACAGGACGUCAUAGAGGGUGAGAAUCCCGUAUGUGACCGGCUCUGGCACCUUAUGUAAAGCUCCUUCGACGAGUCGAGUUGUUUGGGAAUGCAGCUCUAAAUGGGAGGUAAAUUUCUUCUAAAGCUAAAUACUGGCGAGAGACCGAUAGCGCACAAGUAGAGUGAUCGAAAGAUGAAAAGCACUUUGGAAAGAGAGUUAAAAAGCACGUGAAAUUGUUGAAAGGGAAGCGCUUGCAAUCAGACUUGGACUUGGCUGUUCAACAGGUCUUCUGACCUGCCUAUUCAGUCUUGUCCAGGCCAGCAUCAGUUUCGGCGGCCGGAUAAAGGCCCUAGGAAUGUGGCUUUGCCUUCGGGCAAAGUGUUAUAGCCUAGGGUGUCAUACGGCCAGCUGGGACUGAGGUCCGCGCUUCGGCUAGGAUGCUGGCGUAAUGGUUGUAAGCGGCCCGUCUUGAAACACGGACCAAGGAGUCUAACAUCUAUGCGAGUGUUAGGGUGUCAAACCCUUACGCGUAAUGAAAGUGAACGGAGGUGAGAACCCGCAAGGGUGCAUCAUCGACCGAUCCUGAUGUCUUCGGAUGGAUUUGAGUAAGAGCAUAGCUGUUGGGACCCGAAAGAUGGUGAACUAUGCCUGAAUAGGGUGAAGCCAGAGGAAACUCUGGUGGAGGCUCGCAGCGGUUCUGACGUGCAAAUCGAUCGUCAAAUUUGGGGUAUAGGGGCGAAAGACUAAUCGAACCAUCUAGUAGCUGGUUCCUGCCGAAGUU